rnacentral:lncRNA from 1 species
ACUGCGGCACCAACAACGACAACUGCUGCCCCCACAACCACAACUUUGGCACUAACAACGACAACUGCUGCACCAACAACGACAACUGCUGCCCCAACAACCACAACUGCUGCAUCAACAACGACAACUGCUUCCCCAACAACAACAACUGCUGCACCAACAAUGACAACUGCUGCACCAACAACGACAACUGUUGCACCAACAACGACAACUGCUGCACCAACGACAACAACUGCUGCACCAACAACAACUGCGGUACCAACAACGACAACUGCUGCCCCAACAACAACAACUGCGGCACUAACGAUGACGACUGCUGCACCAAAAACAACCACAACUGCGGCACCAACAACAACGACUUCGGCACCAACCACCACAACUGCUGCACCAACAACCACAACUGAAGCACCAACAACAACAACUGCUUCACCAACAACAACAACUGCGGCACCAACAACGACAACUGCGGCACCAACAACGACAACUGCUGCACCCACAACAACAGCUGCACCAACAACAACAACUGUGGCACCAACAACGACAACUCCUGCACCCACAACUAGUACUGCAGCACCAACGACGACAUCUACUGCACCAACAACAACAACUGUGAUACCAAUAACAACUGCUGCACCAACAACGACAACUGCUUCCCCAACAACAACGACUGCAGCACCAACAACGACAACUGUGGUACCAACAACGACAACUGUUGCACCAACAACGACAACUGCUGCACCAACAACGACAACUGCUGCACCAACAACAACAACUGCUGCACCAACAACAACUGCUGCACCAACAACGACAACUGCUGCCCCAACAACCACAACUGCGGUACCAACAACGACAACUGCAUCACCAACAACAACAACUGCGGCACAAACAACAACAACUGCUUCACCAACAACAACAACAACUGCGGCACCAACAACAACAACUGCUGCACCAACAACAACGACUGCGGCACCAACCACCACAACUGCUGCACCAACAACCACGACUGUAGCACCAACAACUCCUGCACCAACGACAACAACUGCGGCACCAACAACAACAACUGCUGCCCCAACAACAACAACUGCGGUACCAACCACGACAACUGCUGCCCCAACAACAACAACUGCAGUACCAACAACCACAACUGCGGCACCAACAACGACAACUGCUGCCCCCACAACCACAACUUUGGCACUAACAACGACAACUGCUGCACCAACAACGACAACUGCUGCCCCAACAACCACAACUGCGGCACCAACAACGACAACUGUGGUACCAACAACGACAACUGUUGCACCAACAACGACAACUGCUGCACCAACAACGACAACUGCUGCACCAACAACGACAACUGCUGCACCAACAACAACAACUGCUGCACCAACAACAACUGCGGUACCAACAACGACAACUGCUGCCCCAACAACAACAACUGCGGCACUAACGACGACGACUGCUGCACCAACAACAACCACAACUGCGGCACCAACAACAACGACUUCGGCACCAACCACCACAACUGGUGCACCAACAACCACAACUGAAGCACCAACAACAACUGCUUCACCAACAACAACUGCUGCACCAACAACGACAACUGCUGCACCCACAACAACAGCUGCACCAACAACAACAACUGUGGCACCAACAACGACAACUCCUGCACCCACAACUAGUACUGCAGCACCAACGACGACAACUGCUGCACCAACAACAACAACUGUGAUACCAAUAACAACUGCUGCACCAACAACGACAACUGCUUCCCCAACAACAACGACUGCAGCACCAACAACGACAACUGUGGUACCAGCAACGACAACUGUUGCACCAACAACGACAACUGCUGCACCAUCAACAACGACUGCACUACCAACCACCACAACUGCUGCACCAACAACAAUGACUGCGGCACCAACCACCACAACUGCUGCACCAACAACCAAAAUUGUAGCACCAACAACUGCGGCACCAACAACGACAACUGCAUCACCAACGACGACAACUGCUACACCAACAACGACAACAGCUGCACCAACAACAACAACGGCUGCACCAACAACAACAACGGCUGCACCAACGACGACAACUGCGGAACCAACAACGACAACUGCUGCACCAACGACAAGCGCUGCACGAACAACGUCAUCUGCUGCACUAACAACCACAACUGCUGUACCAACAACAGCAACUGUAGCACCAACAACAACAGUUUCACCAACCAUGUCCACUGAAGGACCAACAGAGCGACUUCCAACAGAUGUUGUUGUGGCCUCUUCUACUAAUGUUGCAACAACACCAACCACGGCUGGACCCAUUACAGCUACACUAGCUCAUUCAACUACACCUGGACCCACUACAAUUAAAACUACACCUGGACCCAGUACAACUACACUUGGACCCACUACCACCAUCACUACACCUGGAACCACUACCAUUGCAGCUACACCUGAUCUCACUACCACUUCAACUACACCUGGAACCACUACCACGACAACUCAAUCUGUACCAACUACAACUACACCUGUACCCAUUGCAGCUACUACACCUGACUCUACAGAGUCUCCUGCGGCAGGCGAAGGCACUUUGGAUUUAAAUUUCAGUUUGAGACGCACAUUUCAAAGCUCUUUGUCGGAUUCUACUUCCCCAGCAUAUCGGGUGCUGGCUAAUGAAGUCACAAGAGAGGUGAGAUAAUCAUGUUUUUAUUAUGUUUGCAUUAGCCCUAUAUACUUACAAUACUGUACAUGUUAUAUUCCAUAAUAUACAUGUUUUUAAUUAUUUACUUUAGGUCAACAGAGGCUUCAGAUCCGUGUUUCCACGCACGUAUUCCCGAUGUCUAAUACGGUCUUUCAGGUAAGCAUUUCAUUCUCUUCCUCAAUUUACAUAUUAAUAAUUAAUUUUAAAUUCCUGUUCUUUUUCAACAUUAUUAUUAUAAAUAAUAAAAUUUUGAAAAUGUAAUAUACGAUAAACUUUUAACCUAUUUUUUGCUGACUUUCUAUGUUUUUCUAGUAAUGGCUCAAUUCGUGUGAAUAUGACUCUGGUAUACCAUAACCAAUCAGUGGUUCCAAAUGGAUUGACGGCAGAACAGGUAUUCAUGAGUGUCGUAACCAUGGGCAUCACCAACCUCAACGUGAAUGUUUCUACAAUUAACGCAAGUAAGUUUAACACUAGAAUUUAAAGCAUUGCAGCAUUAACGAGUAGUGCUGGCUAUUGUGAUU